CAGUAGGGCUGGGCCAAGAAUGGAAGGUGUCUUUCCACAGAUCUAAAGAAAAAUUUUCGGUUCUGAAAGGGAUCCUGUUGGUUUCUGCAUUAAUAAGAUCGGUUGGAUCUGGAUCCCCUAGAGGGCCAAGGCAUUGGAGGUGUGGUUGAUCGGUAGGGAUGACAAUUUUGUUGGACAAUUCCUGGUGGUUUUGGAAAUAAAGAAAGAGAACACAAAGAAAAAAAUAUAUUCAGUAAAAUGGAUUGCGGAUGAACAGGGA
rnacentral:lncRNA from 1 species